UACGGAGGGGACUAGCGUUGUUCGGAAUUACUGGGCGUAAAGCGCACGUAGGCGGAUUUGUAAGUCAGGGGUGAAAUCCCGAGGCUCAACCUCGGAACUGCCUUUGAUACUGCAAAUCUCGAGUCCGGAAGAGGUGAGUGGAAUUCCUAGUGUAGAGGUGAAAUUCGUAGAUAUUCGGAGGAACACCAGUGGCGAAGGCGGCUCACUGGUCCGGUACUGACGCUGAGGUGCGAAAGCGUGGGGAGCAAACAGG
rnacentral:rRNA from 1 species